rnacentral:rRNA from 1 species
AGAGUUUGAUCCUGGCUCAGGAUGAACGCUAGCGACAGGCUUAACACAUGCAAGUCGAGGGGCAGCAUGAUUUGUAGCAAUACAGAUUGAUGGCGACCGGCGCACGGGUGAGUAACGCGUAUGCAACUUACCUAUCAGAGGGGGAUAACCCGGCGAAAGUCGGACUAAUACCGCAUGAAGCAGGGGCCCCGCAUGGGGAUAUUUGCUAAAGAUUCAUCGCUGAUAGAUAGGCAUGCGUUCCAUUAGGCAGUUGGCGGGGUAACGGCCCACCAAACCGACGAUGGAUAGGGGUUCUGAGAGGAAGGUCCCCCACAUUGGUACUGAGACACGGACCAAACUCCUACGGGAGGCAGCAGUGAGGAAUAUUGGUCAAUGGGCGUAAGCCUGAACCAGCCAAGUCGCGUGAGGGAUGAAGGUUCUAUGGAUCGUAAACCUCUUUUAUAAGGGAAUAAAGUUCGGGACGUGUCCCGUUUUGUAUGUACCUUAUGAAUAAGGAUCGGCUAACUCCGUGCCAGCAGCCGCGGUAAUACGGAGGAUCCGAGCGUUAUCCGGAUUUAUUGGGUUUAAAGGGUGCGUAGGCGGCCUUUUAAGUCAGCGGUGAAAGUCUGUGGCUCAACCAUAGAAUUGCCGUUGAAACUGGGGGGCUUGAGUAUGUUUGAGGCAGGCGGAAUGCGUGGUGUAGCGGUGAAAUGCUUAGAUAUCACGCAGAACCCCGAUUGCGAAGGCAGCCUGCCAAGCCAUGACUGACGCUGAUGCACGAAAGCGUGGGGAUCAAACAGGAUUAGAUACCCUGGUAGUCCACGCAGUAAACGAUGAUCACUAGCUGUUUGCGAUACACUGUAAGCGGCACAGCGAAAGCGUUAAGUGAUCCACCUGGGGAGUACGCCGGCAACGGUGAAACUCAAAGGAAUUGACGGGGGCCC